rnacentral:tRNA from 1 species
GCCGCCAUAGUGUAGUGGUAGCAUGUAUCCUUCGGGCUUAAACUCCCGAUCGUUUUAACGAUCAAAUUUGGAUGAGGUCUUCGGUUCAAUCCCGGAUGGUGGCC